CAAAUUCUACUGAGAACUCUGUCUCAGUUCUCGGUGAAAAAUCGCCGAGCUUUUCGGCCAUAACCGAGACCGUUGUAAGUGGGUACGCUAUAGGAUAAUGGCCCAUUAUUAUAAAAAACAUUUCAGGAAAAGUACGACUUUCAGAUUGAUAAGUAGAUUAAAGUUUUGAAAAUAAAAAUGAACAACUUUUAAAACUUUAGUUUUCCUCAAUUAGCGAAAAUACAUAAAAACAUUAACUACAAUAUUUGUACAAAAAAAAAAAUUCUUUACGAGUAGUUUUAUUGAAAUAUCUUCAAAUCUUUCCAACUCUAAGUAUCUCUAAGCUCGACAUAUAAAAAGUACCCAAAAUCCCUUAACAUGGGACAAAAAGGCGUUUAUAAAUUAUUGGUUAACACCUCCAUUUUAAACGUGUUAUCGCACGACGGUCAGUCAUAUCGGAAUCGAGGAAUAGUCAAUAUCUUUAUCUAAUCUUAAGAUUACCUGGCCAUUUGGUGGUUUGAACUAGUUUUGAAGGGAAUAAAGAGUCACGAUGUUGGGUCCAGUAGCCAGAACCACGCUUUUGGGUAGAAAUGUGAUGAGGAAUUUUGUCAGAAAUGGCUCUCAUGGUGGUAUUCCUGGAGAGAACCUUCCAUUCGACAUUCACAGCCGUGCAAAGGUGACAUUCCACGUGUUCUGGUACACACUUACUGGCAUUGCUGCACCUUUCCUCAUUGUUUUGCACCAGCUUAACAAGAAGUGAAGUAAAUUCAAGAUAUAUUUUAUAGUAUACAUAAGCUAUUAUGUAAAAUUAAAAUGUAGCAUACAUAUUUCUCAAUGAAAAUAAAUAUAAUUUAAUAUGAUAUUGACUUUUAUUUGAUAUUAAUAAUGUGUCAACGUAAUAGUUGCGUUCAGUAAAAUUUACAGAACUAGGUACCAAAAAUUAAGUAAUAGCAACGAACGCAGUGGUAGAAUUUGUAAAAAAAAAAAAAAAUUACGUCUGCGACAGAGUAUCGAAUUUUCUCACAUUUUCGCGUAACUUGCAAAUUAAUUAUCAAAAUGUUGGGUCCCUUAGCUCGUGCUUCUAACAAACUGGGAAGAAAUGUAAUGACUAAUUUCAUCAGGAACCACUCCCAUGGCGGUGUUCCUGGCGAGAACUUGCCAUUCGACAUCUCCAACCGCUACAAGCUGACAGCCUAUUUGAUGGUAUAUAUUGGUUCAGGACUUUCUGCACCAUUCCUGAUCUGCCGUCACCAGCUUCUUAAGAAGUAAAUUGUUGUAACAGUUCAAACAAUUCUUUGCUCCACAAGCUGAAGAAUGUUUUAGUUAUAAGCUAGCAAUCUGUAUAUUAAAUUAUAAUGUAAUGUUAUAAAUCACAUGGUCUUUUAUUAAAAUAAUGGAAACACUUAAUAAUUUAGGUAAUAGCACAAAUGAUUCACACAAAAAUUCAAAUUUACGACUAAUUUAAAGGUCGGAACUAGAAACGGAACCUUCACACAUCAGUUUAAUGAAUGAAAAUUGUUUUAUAUUUACUUUAGCAUAUUAAAAAAUUAAUCGUUAACGGGACUGCUAAAAAUUCCUUAUAUCGAUGGACCCCAUAUAUCAAGCAGAAUUAUGUCAUAAACUCCAUACCAAUAAUAAUUUAGGAUUUAGGUAAUAAAAAAUUUAUGAAGUAAAAUAAUCUUUUUCGUCAUAAAAAUCGAUCGCUGCUCGGUUUAGUUAAAAAAAAAAAAAAAGAGUACAAUAAAAA
rnacentral:misc_RNA from 1 species